GAUGAACGCUAGCGACAGGCCUAACACAUGCAAGUCGAGGGGCAGCACAUGAGUAGCAAUACGAUGGUGGCGACCGGCGCACGGGUGAGUAACACGUAUGCAACCUACCGGUAAAAGGGGGAUAGCCUCUCGAAAGAGAGAUUAAUACCGCAUAAUAUCUCUGGAUGGCAUCAUUUAGAGAUUAAACAUUUAUGGUUUACCGAUGGGCAUGCGUAUGAUUAGCUAGUAGGUGAGGUAACGGCUCACCUAGGCAACGAUCAUUAGGGGUUCUGAGAGGAAGGUCCCCCACACUGGUACUGAGCUACGGACCAUACUCCUACGGGAGGCAGCAGUGAGGAAUAUUGGUCAAUGGGCGAGAGCCUGAACCAGCCAAGUCGCGUGAAGGAUGAAGGUUCUAUGGAUUGUAAACUUCUUUUGUAAGGGAAUAAAAAGAGCUACGUGUAGUUUAUUGUAUGUACUUUACGAAUAAGGAUCGGCUAACUCCGUGCCAGCAGCCGCAGUAA
rnacentral:rRNA from 1 species